AGAUUGGUUGUAGUAUGUGUUAAAUAUUUGGUCUGUUGUGUUGUAAGAAAGAGAAGAUGUAGGUUGCUGAGAAACUCUAUCAGUACUGCUAUAUUCUUCUUUGUAUCAUUUCCUUUUUUUCCAUUUAAUUAUUGCCAUGUGUCGCGCCACCAUUGGUGGUUGUCCAUUAUUUUGAAAAAAGCUCAAUUGUAAUAGCUAAACAAAUAUAUCUUGUUCUUGAUGUCUA
rnacentral:lncRNA from 1 species